rnacentral:rRNA from 1 species
UACGUAGGGGGCUAGCGUUGUCCGGAUUUAUUGGGCGUAAAGAGCGUGUAGGUGGCCAGGUAGGUCUGGUGUGAAAACUCGAGGCUUAACCUCGAGAUGUCAUCGGAAACCAUCUGGCUAGAGUCCGGAAGAGGAGAGUGGAAUUCCUGGUGUAGCGGUGAAAUGCGCAGAUAUCAGGAAGAACACCAAUGGCGAAAGCAGCUCUCUGGGACGGUACUGACGCUGAGACGCGAAAGCGUGGGGAGCGAACAGG